rnacentral:rRNA from 1 species
CCCUUAGAUGUUCUGUGCCGCACGCGCGCUACACUGAUGCGUUCAACGAGUAUAGCACCUUGAUCGAUAGGUCUGGGUAAUCUUUUGAACGCGCAUCGUGUUAGGGAUAGACUGUUGCAAUUUUCAGUCUUGAACGAGGAAUUCCUAGUAAACGCAAGUCAUCAGCUUGCAUUGAUUACGUCCCUGCCCUUUGUACACACCGCCCGUCGCACCUACCGAUUGAAUGACUCGGUGAAAAAUUGGGACCGUGAGUCCGUUUGCUUUAUUGCGAGUGGAUUUAUGGGAACUUUUUUAAACCUCGCCAUUUAGAGGAAGGUGAAGUCGUAACA